rnacentral:lncRNA from 1 species
CUCCCACAAUCCCAAGCUCCGUAGCCUCCCUCCUCGUCAGCGCCGGCCAAGACCACGCACCGCCAGCAGCAAUGGAGACCGUCGCGGCCGCCGGCUACGCGCGCGGGGCCGCCACGCGCUCCCCGGCCUGCUGCGCCGCCAUGUCCUUCUCGCAGUCCUACAGGCCCAAGGUGCGCGAGAGCUACACAUGCUGCCAAGACACUCCUCCUCCUUUUUCCUGACGCCCGACUGGUAAUGUGACGGCAGGCUGCCAGGCCGGCGACCUCGUUCUACGGCGAGUCGCUGCGGGCGAACACGGCGAGGACGUCGUUCCCGGCGGGGAGGCAGUCCAAGGCGGCGAGCCGCGCGGCGCUCACCACCCGGUGCGCUAUCGGCGACAGCCUGGUUCGUGCCGUGCACGCACCCGUCACCACUACAUAGGAGUAUGCUAUAGCUAGCCCCCUGCAUGCGCAGCUCACGGCGUCUGUACAUUUUUGUGCGUAUAUGCGUGUGUGGUGGCAGGAGGAGUUCCUGACCAAGGCGACGCCGGACAAGAAC